UUAUCGUUGUUCAGUUUGUAAUAACCUAUUCUCUCCGCAGCGGACGUUCCUCCGCAGCUCCGCCUGUGUUCCUCUCUACAGCUCCGCCCGUGUUCUUCUCCGCAGCUCCGCUGUGUUCCUCUCCGAAGCUCCGCCGUGUUCCUCUCCAGCUCCGCCCGUGUUCCUCUCUACAGCUCUGCCUGUGUUCUUCUCCGCAGCUUCGCCGUGUUCCUCUCCGCAGCUCCGCUGUGUUCCUCUCCAGCUCCGCCCGUGUUUCGAUCUGUUCAUAGCAGAACCCUUUUGGGUUUUCUGGAGAUGGACUCUGAAUCUCUGCGAACAAUGGCACUUCUUGAAGCUAGAAGUGAAUACAAGGAAAUGAAUGAGGAGGAUGUUGAAUUUGAUGUAGAAGAGGAGUUGACAGAAACAGAAGCAGAGAUUCAAACAGAAGCAGAGGUUCAAACAGAAACACAAGCAACUGCAUCAACACAAGCAGCAAAACCUCAACGUAAGCGUCGAAAAACCUCUACUGUUUGGAAAGAUUUUGUAUUAGUGAGGAUAGAAGAUGGAACAGUAAAGGCUAAGUGCAAUCACUGUGGUUCAACAUUCGCUUAUAAUAGUAAAACCCAUGGUACAAAUCAGUUGAAGCGACACUUAGAGGGUUGUUCUAAGAUGCCUAAGAAAGUAGAUAGACAUGUGUAUGAUCAUUUGGUAGAUCGUGCGAUGGUUACUGAGGCUAUCAUUUACCAUGAUCUACUAUUUUGAUAUGUGGAGUUUGAGAAGGUUAGAGAAAGAGAAGUAUUUAAAUCCCGAGUGUCAACCCAUUUGUAGACAGACUGCUGCUCUUGAUGUCUAUAGGAGAUAUGAAAUAGAGAAAGAGAAGUUGAAGGGGCUGUUGGAGAAGCAUCAUGGCAGGGUCUGUCUGACCGCUGAUUUAUGGAUAUCUAAGCCUCAGAAUACGGGCUAUAUCUGCUUAACUGUCCAUUACAUUGAUGAUGACUGGAGAUUGGACAAUAAGAUCUUAGAAUUUUGUGAGAUGAAGUCUCCACACACAGGUGAUCUGAUUGCCACUAAGAUCUUCGAGUCAUUGAAGGAAUGGGGUUUAGAGAAGAAGAUUUUCUCAAUUACUCUAGACAAUGCCACAAACAACAACAGCAUGGUGAGAAUUCUUGUGGGCAAGCUUCAGAUGACAAGUGGAAGUGGUGGAGGUCUGUUGUGUGAUGGUAAGCACAUACAUGUGAGAUGUUGUGCUCACAAUUUGAACCUCAUAGUUAAAAAUGGCUCAGAAUUAGCAAAUAUUCUUCUGCAUAACAUUCGAGAGAGUGUCAGAUAUGUGAAAGCAUCGCCACAAAGGAAAGAAGCAUUUGCAGCAUGUCUAAAGAGAGUAGGAAAUAGAAGAGGGGCUGGAUUGUCACUUGAUGUUUCUACUCGCUGGAACUCUACAUACGAUAUGCUGGUUAGAGCUCUCAAGUUCAAGGAUGCAUUUGCUAGCAUAGAGUCUUAUGAUCCGAACUAUAAGACCAAUCCUUCAGUGGCUGAGUGGAACCGUGGGGAAAAGAUCUGUGAAUUGUUGAAGCCAUUCAGUGUCAUAACAACCGAUUUUUCAGGUUCAAAGUAUCCCACUUCUAAUAUCUAUUUCACACAAGUGUGGAAUAUACAAUUGUUAUUAAAGAAAUAUUCCACUUGUGAUGAUCUUGGGGUGAGAGAAAUUGCCAGAGACAUGCAAGUGAAGUUUGAUAAAUACUGGAAAGAGUAUAGUCUAAUCUUGGCUAUGGGAGCAGUUCUAGAUCCAAAAAUAAAGAUUGAGAUGCUUGAAGCUGCUUAUAGAGAAUUGGAUUCUUCUACUGCCAGCUUAAAGACUGAAAAACUCAAAGAAAGUUUGAGUGUUCUCUGUAAAGAGUAUCAGAAACUGUCUCAAACAAGUUCUUCAGGAUUUUCACUUACACCACAUGAGAUUGUCACAGAAUCUCCUUUUGAAGAUGAUUAUGAUAAUGUGACUUAUAAUAAUUUUAAAUAAUCUGAGUCAUUUAUUAUCUUGAAAUCGAUAAUUUUGUUAUAAAUGUUCAUAAUGAAGGACUUUUUUGAGUUUGAAAAGAGCAUUGGUGGUGGAGCUGGUGAUCCAAAGACACAUUUGGAUAUCUACUUGGAAGAGCCAAGGCUAAAUAGGAGGGCCAAUAUAAAUUUGGAUGUCUUGACUUAUUGGAGAGAGAACCAACAUCGAUUUGGAGAUUUAGCAUCUAUGGCACGUGACAUCCUCAGCAUUCCGAUCACCACGGUAGCUUCUGAGUCUGCCUUCAGCGUUGGAUCUCGGGUUUUAACUCCUUACCGAAACCGCCUCUUACCUAAAAAUGUUCAAGCUCUUCUUUGCACUAGGAAUUUGGCUGCGUGGUUUUGCUGAAUACCAAGGUACAAUUGAAGACCUCUUUGAUGAAAAUGAAAAUGUUCAAAAAAAACAAGUAAUUCAGGAGCUGAAUCUUCAACAUCAAAAAAUUGAAGUGUUUGAUCGAAUUAUGGAAGUGAUAAGAUGUGUUUAAAAUUGAAGUGGAGAAAAUGGCGCUUCAUCUCUUGUGUCUUUUCUUACAUAUUCUUCAUCUCAUCUCUCUUGUCUCUUCUCUUACAUUUUCUUCAUCUCAUGUCUCUUUACUAGCAAUCAGACUAUCAAAUUGUCAUGUUUUUGUAAUGUAAACUCUGAACAUCUUGUAAACUUAUGAGAAUGUCUUGUAAACUUAUGAGAAUGUCUUUCUGAUGCAUCAUCAAUACAAGUUUGCAAUACAUGUUUGUUUA